rnacentral:rRNA from 1 species
AUUGAACGCUGGCGGCAGGCCUAACACAUGCAAGUCGAGCGGUAGAGAGGUGCUUGCAUCUCUUGAGAGCGGCGGACGGGUGAGUAAUGCCUAGGAAUCUGCCUAGUGGUGGGGGAUAACGUUCGGAAACGGACGCUAAUACCGCAUACGUCCUACGGGAGAAAGCGGGGGGAUCUUCGGACCUCGCGCCAUUAGAUGAGCCUAGGUCGGAUUAGCUAGUUGGUGAGGUAAUGGCUCACCAAGGCGACGAUCCGUAACUGGUCUGAGAGGAUGAUCAGUCACACUGGAACUGAGACACGGUCCAGACUCCUACGGGAGGCAGCAGUGGGGAAUAUUGGACAAUGGGCGAAAGCCUGAUCCAGCCAUGCCGCGUGUGUGAAGAAGGUCUUCGGAUUGUAAACUGCUUUUGUACGGAACGAAAGGUUUGUCUUAAUACGAUGAGCUCAUGACGGUACCGUAAGAAUAAGCACCGGCUAACUACGUGCCA